GCCGAGGUGGCGGAAUUGGUAGACGCGCUAGUUUCAGGUACUAGUGGUGGAAACACCGUGGGGGUUCAAGUCCUCUCCUCGGCACCA
rnacentral:tRNA from 1 species